UACGUAGGGUGCGAGCGUUGUCCGGAAUUAUUGGGCGUAAAGAGCUCGUAGGCGGUUUGUCGCGUCUGCUGUGAAAACUCAGGGCUUAACCCUGAGCCUGCAGUGGGUACGGGCAGACUAGAGGUAUGCAGGGGAGAACGGAAUUCCUGGUGUAGCGGUGAAAUGCGCAGAUAUCAGGAGGAACACCGGUGGCGAAGGCGGUUCUCUGGGCAUUACCUGACGCUGAGGAGCGAAAGUGUGGGGAGCGAACAGG
rnacentral:rRNA from 1 species